rnacentral:lncRNA from 1 species
GUAUAACGAAUCCUUGUGUUGUACACCUUAAACUUAUACAAUCAUGCAUGUCAAUUACAUCUCAACUAAUCCAGAAAAAAAUAUUCAAAGCCUCACUUGUAAAGGAAAAGGGACAACAGUGUCUUUUUCAUAGCAGUGUGGCAAAGACUAGUAAAAUAGUAAACAAAAGUCCUUUUCUGGGCAUCUGAGCCAAAAUAAGCCCAAAAUGAUAAUUGCUAGAAAGACCUUUAGAAUAGCGAGGACUAUAGAAGCUAAGACUUUUGAGAAAGGAACACAUGCUUAUAUGGAGAGGAAAACAAAACUUGAAGGGUAGCAACAGUGGCAGAGACAGAGAACCCGUGGGCAGAAGUUAGAGGGGUAACUGGAAGAACUUUCUUGCUUUUUUUUUCUUUUUCUUUUUCUUUUUUUUCUGGAAGAACUUUCUAACAAUUCUCACUGUCCAUCCACAGAACGGAGCCUGAGAAGUUGUGAGCUUCUCAUGCCUGGCAGUCUCCUGGGGGCACUCGAAGGUCUUUGUCACCUGCAGAGGAACAUCAGAUUUCGAUGGACUGCUUUCUGCUUGGCCUCCUCACACCAUGAUCCUCCCUGCUUGGCUUUCCAUGGCCCUUCCUCCUCCACUUCAUCUGAGUCACUGUCUUCUCUGAGCUCUAUCAUCGGGCUCUUCCCAUCCUGAACCACACAGCCAUCCUGCAUGGACUCACGUGCUUCCAUAUUAUCAGCUGUCACCUCGAAGUGGUUUUCAACAGGGCACAAGAAGAGGGAGAAGAAGCCAAGGGGAGUCACGUAGAAACACCUGGUGAGAAGGGCCUUCUGAAUGGUGACACCCCAUUUGCUCAGUCAUGCCAGAAAGAAACUUGAAGUCACGAGUGACAUUUCCUUGCCAUCCUGCCAACAUUCACACAAUCUCUAAGCCUUGAAAUAUUGCUUCCUAAUUAUUUCACCAAUUCAUCACCUCCUCUCCCUUUCUUAUUGCACUUCCCCAGUUCAGGCCCUGAUCACAUCUGAGCAUCUGCACCCAGUGAUUCUCCUCUGUCUGGGAACCACCCUCCUUGGGCUGACCCCAAAAGUCAAUCGGGAAGGGAAUUCCUCCUUCUGAUUCCCAGGGAGGGAUUAAGGUUCUGGUCAGAGGAUCAAGGUCUUAGAACCCAACUGAAAAACCUGGAAACAAGGAUAUCUGGGGAGAGUUAUGUGGCUGGUCCCCAUAGGGGGAGUUUGAGACUGAAAAUAUUCCAGGGUUAUGAAGAGGUUUACCAGAAGUCUGCCCAUGUGGAAGCGGCUCUUUAUAACCACCUAGACAGGGUGACUACUGGGUAGACUGGCGCUCGCAAAAUAAAGCCCCAGAGAGGCAGGAACA